rnacentral:rRNA from 1 species
UCCUACGGGAGGCAGCAGGGGGGAAUCUUGCCCAAUGGAGGAAACUCUGAUGCAGCGAUGCCGCGUGAGUGAAGAAGCCCUUUGGGUUGUAAAGCUCUUUCGUCGGGAAGAAAAUGAC